rnacentral:rRNA from 1 species
UACGUAGGGCGCAAGCGUUGUCCGGAAUUAUUGGGCGUAAAGAGCUCGUAGGCGGCCUGUUGCGUCCGCUGUGAAAUCCCGGGGCUUAACCCCGGGCGUGCAGUGGAUACGGGCAGGCUGGAGGCAGGCAGGGGAGAACGGAAUUCCCGGUGUAGCGGUGAAAUGCGUAGAGAUCGGGAGGAACACCAGUGGCGAAGGCGGCACCCUGGACCAGCACUGACACUGAGGCACGAAAGCGUGGGGAGCAAACAGG